rnacentral:lncRNA from 1 species
GUUAUGAUCCAACACGAGUUGUGGUGGUUCUUUUAUCUGAGAAAAAGCUUUUCAAAAGAAAUACCUGCCCUAUGCUAACCACCAGAAGAAUGAGGGCUUCUCCUACUGACCAAUAGGCCACUCUUGUAUUUAGAUCCUCUGCUCGGCUUCGGCCUUGAGCUUCUCUUAAACGGAAAUGAGUCUGAUAAUCGAUGACAGACUUCAGAGCUUCGUGAAUUGAAACACAGGCAGAUUCCAUCUG